AAUCAACAUUACCCAUGUAAACCUCUGCAGAGAGGUUUCUGCACUCAGCUGCCAUCCUCCAGCUGCGUCAGAAAAGAAGGCUCAAGGCUCCCCUGGGGUUCAAGCAGCUGUGGCAGUCGAGGAUCAGAGAGAGUGUAAGAAUCACCCAAGAAGAGAUGAUUCUCCUCCAGUGUGAAAAUCUGUCACUCAGGCCUUCACUCAAGAAAAAAGGUAGUUUCUCUCUCCAGCUCCAGUGCCCAGCUCUGAAACCCACCUAACUCUUGGAGCCUUCCAAGGCACAACACAGAGUUGCUGAUCCAGAAGAAACAGUGCUGGGAAGAUCUAGCACUCCUCCUAGCCAGAAAUACCCAGUCUGUGCUUGAAGGAACGAACUGGCUCUCAUAAAAUGUAUUAUAUGUGGCUGCUCUAUCUCUCAUGUGGCAUUUCUUUGCGUGUGUAACAAAAAAUAGAGGCGGCAGCUGUACAUUAAAGCGGGGGCUGUUCAUUAAAGCAGGUCAAAUUGCAAAUGUGAAGUUAUAGUCACAGUUUUACUUUGCAUCUGAGUAGUAAGGGAAAUUAAACAUGAAGGAGCUGCAAGUAGAACAAAAGCAAGUUCAGCCUUCCAUCUGGUACACAAAACCUUCUGGUGCAUUGGAUAUUGUGCAGAACAAUGCAGAAUUUCCCCCCUGCACAUCACAGGAUCAAUUAUUGCUCACAGCAAAGUUGCAAGUCUAGCACCCAUAUGCAAGAUGAGAAUCAAAUGGUUGGAUACCAGGAACAGGGACACCUUGCCGAGAACUUCCUUAGAUUCACUCAGUGCUUUAGAAAAGAAAAAAAAAGAAGAAAAAAAAAGGAAAAAAAAGAGGGGACUCUUGGAAGUCCUCUUCUGGGGAGGACUCAGCUUUCCAAGUGCACACAGUAUUCAUGAGCAUGACAAACACUGGUGGUUCUUUUGAUUGCACUGGCUGUAUUUUAGAGUACUGCUGUGUGGUUACUACAAGGGGUGGUCAGAGUUCACAGUGUAGGUUCUAGCAUGAAACAAAUGCAGGAUUAACAAGGUGUUGUAUUUCCCACAGCAGUGAUAUUAUGUCCCUGACAAUACUUUUCAUAUUCCCAGGAGAGAAAGCUAAAGCUGAUCCUUGCAGUCAAGCUCAUGUAGUGAUAAUAAACAGUACUUAAAAACC